AAAGUCGGCCAGGCAAUCGCCGGAUACUUGCAGGCAACUGCGGUAUCGGGAGGAAAGUCCGGGCUCCGCAGGGCAGGAUGCCAGUUAACGGCUGGGCGCUAUAAGCNNCGCAAGGCGAAGGCGACGGAAAGUGGAACAGAGAGAGACCGCCGACCCGGACUUUGACGCCGCUUGCGGCGACAAAGUCAAGAGUGAGAGGCCUCGCCGUAAGGCGUGGCGGACGAACCGCUCGGGGUCGGUAAGNGUGGAAACGGCGGGUAAGCUCACCGCGUCGGCGGCAACGUUCGACGGCACGCUAAACCCCAUCCGGAGCAAGACCAAAUAGGGAAGCAUGGGCGUGGCCCGCGCUGCUUCCGGGUAGGUUGCUUGAGCCUGUCGGUGACGGCAGGCCUAGAGGAAUGAUUGCCGAACCCCGCAAGGGGGANNACAGAACCCGGCUUAUCGGCCGGCUUUCCAC
rnacentral:RNase_P_RNA from 1 species